rnacentral:rRNA from 1 species
CCUACGGGUGGCAGCAGUGGGGGAUAUUGCACAAUGGAGGAAACUCUGAUGCAGCGACGCCGCGUGAGGGAAGACGGCCUUCGGAUUUUAAACCUCUGUUUAUGGGGAAGAAAAUGACGGUACCUAAAGAGGAAUCUCUGGCCAACUACGUGACAGCAGCCGUGGUAAUACGUCGGGAGCGAGGGUUGUCCGGAAUUACUGGGUGUAAUGGGAGCGUAGGCGGGCGAGAAAGUUGAAUGUAAAAUCUACCGGCUUAACUGGUAGCUGCGUUCAAAACUGCGUGUCUUGAGUAAACUAGGGGCAGGCGGAAUUCCUGGUGUAGCGGUGAAAUGCGUAGAUAUUAGGAGGAACACCAAUGGCGAAGGCAGCGUACUGGGGUAUAACUGACGCUGAGGCUCGAAAGCGUGGGUAGCAAACAGGAUUAGAUACCCCGGUAGUC